AUGAGGGCCCAGCUCGCUCUAGCCCUUCUGCUCUUCCUCGUUGUUGCCUCUGCCAGCCCCCUAGCAUCGGCCCAUGGUGAUCUUGACUAUGGCGGUGGAGUGAAGAAAUCUGAAGCUACCGGCGGAUACACCGCCGGUAUUGAGAAGAAACCCGAAGCUGUCUCGGCCAGUGCUGAGAAUAAACCCGAAGCCAUCUCCGCUGGUGUGGAGAAGAAACCAGAUGCCGUCUCCGGAACAGACGUCUCCUCCAGCGCGGAGACGAAACCCGAAGUCGUCGCUGGCUAUGAUGGUGGUAAGAAGAAACCUGACGUCGCCCCCAACAAUGUUGACGCAGAGAAGAAACCAGUAAGUGCCUCUGGCUAUACUGGCAAGGAGAAGAAACCCGAAGGUGGCACCAAGGCUGCUGAGGAGAAGAAAUCUAAAGUUGCCUCCGAGAAGAAAUCCAAAAGAAAGAGUGAGCCCUCCCAGCCUUCCACCAUCGAGAAGAAACCCAAAAGUAAAAAUGAGAAGAAGUCCAAAGGAAAGAAUGACGCCUCUGGAUACACUGGUGCGGAGAAGAAACCAAAAGAAAAAGUAGAUACACCCAAGAAGGAGAAGCCAAAGAAGGAACCGAAGAAGGAGGAGCCGAAGAAGGAGGAGACCGCGGCGACCGUCACAUCCGAUAGUUACACUGCACCGAAGAAUGCUCAGCCGGAGACGCCGGCAGCUAGCACUGCUGACGCUUAUGCUGCGCCAAAGACUGCUCAGCCGGAGAUGGCGGCGACUAGCACAACCGGCGGUUACGCCUAG
rnacentral:rRNA from 1 species